rnacentral:tRNA from 1 species
GCCUACGUGGCUGAGUUGGUUAAGCAUCUGACUUCCGCUCAGGUCAUGAUCUCAUGGUUCGUGGGUU